CAUGAAUUAAUUUUAUGUAAUGCUUUCCUUCAGACUACUACUAGUAAGUUAAUUAACAAGAAUUUAUUUAGUUCUUGUUACUUUCUAGGGCACUAGGUUAGGAAUGACAGUUGAAAGAAAUUACUCUGUGGGCAGGUAGGUUGCCCAGUAGAUAGAUGGAGAACUGGGGUUGGAAUUAGGAAAAACUGAGUUUUAAUUCUGCCCAAUACUAGCUAUGUGAUCUUGGGUGAGUCCCUUAAUUUCUCUGUUCCUCAGUUUUCUCAUCUGUCAAGUGAUGGUGUUGGACGCAUUGGCCCGAAGCAUCUGUCUAGUUCUAAAUUCAUGACUCUACAAGGACCUGGAUCUCCAGAAGCUUCUAAGGUAGCCCCGAGGGGCUGGAUUUCUUAGAAUGCUUGCUCACAAACCCAGUGGUAUAUUUUCUAUGUAUAAUCAGCUAGACUUAAUUGUUUAAUUUUUUUUAAGUAAAGGUAAUUUACUAAGAUAGCCUACUAAGAACAUUUGGUAAAACUAAACCAAACCAAAUUCCCCCUAAACUUGGAGUACAUUCUCCUCUGUGCACUCAAAGUCCCUGGAGAAAUUGGGCUCAAACUUUAGGUGUAAAUACACUUAAUCCUGUUUUUCUCAGUUUUUUUCAUCUGUGAAAUGAAUUGGAGAAGGAAAUGGCAAACAACUCUAGUGCCUUGGCCAAGAAAGUCCUCAACAAAAAGGAGUCGUGAAGAGUCAAGACGUGACUUAAAACAACUGAACAAAAAGGUUUUGCAGCCUUCAUGGGAAGCAAAGAAUUAUAAACUAUUAAAGUUGGAAGAGAUCCCAGGUAUGUGCUCAUUUGUGUCAUUUCUCCUGCUAGAUUGCAAACUCUUGUAGGGCAAGAACGAUGUUUCACAGAGCUUUAGUUAAGGAUAGAUGAUCUGGACUUUGCCACGAAGUACUAAAAUUUAGUGAAUGUUUAUUGUAUUUCAACAGAGAAACCUGUGAACUUAGCCAAUGGUAAACUGAAAUAAAUAGUUAAAUAGGCAGCUUCCUGGGGGCUUC
rnacentral:lncRNA from 1 species